rnacentral:rRNA from 1 species
UACGGGGGGGGCAAGCGUUGUUCGGAAUUACUGGGCGUAAAGGGCUCGUAGGUGGCCAACUAAGUCAGACGUGAAAUCCCUCAGCUUAACUGGGGAACUGCGUCUGAUACUGGAUGGCUUGAGUUUGGGAGAGGGAUGCGGAAUUCCAGGUGUAGCGGUGAAAUGCGUAGAUAUCUGGAGGAACACCGGUGGCGAAGGCGGCAUCCUGGACCGACACUGACGCUGAGGAGCGAAAGCGUGGGGAGCGAACAGG